rnacentral:rRNA from 1 species
GAUGAACGCUAGCUACAGGCUUAACACAUGCAAGUCGCGGGACCGGCGCACGGGUGCGUAACACGUAUCCAACCUGCCCUUUACUCGGGGAUAGCCUUUCGAUAGAAAGAUUAAUACCCGAUGUCAAGGAUGGGGAUGCGUUCCAUUAGGUUGUUGGUGAGGUAACGGCUCACCAAGCUUUCGAUGGAUAGGGGUUCGGAUCGGAAGGUCCCCCACAGUGGAACUGAGACACGGUCCAAACUCCUACGGGAGGGAGCAGUGAGGAAGAUUGGGCAAGGGGCGUUAGCCUGAACCAGCCAAGUAUCGUGAAGGAGGAAGGCGUAGGGGGCGUAAACUUCUUUUAUAGAAGAACAGUUAUUAUAUGAAUAAGCAUCGGCUAACUUCGUGCCAGCAGCCGCGGUAAUAC